UGGACUGAAACGAUAUCUCCUGUGUAAACUUUUCCCUAGCAUCUUUCAAAACCUCCUUAUAGAAUUUGGCUUGCGAGGACCAUCGGGUUUCUGCUAGAGCAGCAGAGGAAGCCAAAGGCGAAAUGCACAUUCCCAAUUUAGGUGCCUUUGUACUUGCAGAAGCAGCAGCCAAUUUGUUCCAUUUUCCUUUCUCGUUCCCAAUCCAACAUCCAACGCGACCAUCAAAAUUACACCUGCUGCAAAUGUCUAAAGAAACCAUAGCUACUGAAG
rnacentral:misc_RNA from 1 species